GUGGCCUUGGCGCCGCAUCGACGACAAAUGUUCGAGUUCGUCGUCGGUGAUUCGUUGCGAUGCGCGAGUGCAUCUGCCAUCAUUCUUUCGGUGAUCAGUUUGAUUUCUAUUGAUUCUCAAGUUUAUAUACAUCUGGAAGAGGUGCGAAGAAGAGGUGACUAUUCGGAGGCAUCCUUUCAGAACAGGUGCUUGUUGGCAAUAGAGAGAUAGAAUAGACAUGACUUUUCGGGGUUGGACACCCUUUCCUAAUUAAUUUCUAACAUUUUGCACGAGCAAAAUCGGAGAGAAAAAGGGAUUAGCACUAAUAAGGCGGACAAUGCCACGUGAGAGCAUUUCUACUCCAUUUCAUCUUUUUCUUGAGAUGAAUAACGGUUGUGUUUGACUAUAACAGGUUGAGGUCCUCAAAUCAGCGGAAUAUGGUGGGCGCAAUCGCGUCGUCAUGUCAACUAUUGUGGUUUAGCAAAGAGAUGUUGUAAAUCUUGUAACAAGCUGGUCACCUUGCAAGAGCAUGAGUGGGUGUUGUCGUGGUGAGAAGGGACUCUGUAACAACAUAAUCUAUUCUAAAUAGUUUUGGUGGUUGAUAACGAUGUUUUUUACGAAUUAAUUGUGUGCAUUAAACUUUCAAAGAAUUAUCAGGCGGCACGAGACGGUUAUUUUCUCCUCACUGGUUGAAAGAGAAGACGAUGCUUACCUAUCGAUUUAGUGUUGGUGGACUAUCAAGAGGGAAUCCGCGUAUAGAAAGGUUGGGCGAAACAAACUCACACACACUUGCACCCCAUCCGAUUCCCGAAGCAAUGG
rnacentral:lncRNA from 1 species